rnacentral:rRNA from 1 species
UACGAAGGGGGCUAGCGUUGCUCGGAAUCACUGGGCGUAAAGCGCACGUAGGCGGAUUGUUAAGUCAGGGGUGAAAUCCUGGAGCUCAACUCCAGAACUGCCUUUGAUACUGGCGAUCUCGAGUCCGGGAGAGGUGAGUGGAACUGCGAGUGUAGAGGUGAAAUUCGUAGAUAUUAGGAAGAACACCGGUGGCGAAGGCGGCCAUCUGGCUCGGUACUGACGCUCAGGUGCGAAAGCGUGGGGAGCAAACAGG